rnacentral:rRNA from 1 species
GAUGAACGCUAGCUACAGGCUUAACACAGAAUGAAGAAACGAGUGGCGAACGGGUGAGUAACGCGUAAUCAACCUGCCCUUCAGAGGGGGACAACAUUUGGAAACGAAUGCUAAUACCUGAUACUGUGAGAGAGCUUUGCGUCCCAUUAGCUGGUGGGGGAGGUAACGGCCCACCAAGGCGAUGAUGGGUAGCCGGCCUGGGAGGGUGAUCGGCCACAAGGGGACUGGGAAACGGCCCGUACUCUUACGGGGGGCAGCGGUGGGGAAUAUUUGCCAAUGGACCAAAGUCUGAUGCAGAAGUUCUGUGUGGACGAUGAAGUUUUCGGAAUGUAAAGUGCUUUCAGUUGAGGAGCGGUACCAGCAGAAGAAGCAACGGCUAAAUACGUGCCAGCAGCCGCGGUAAUAC